rnacentral:rRNA from 1 species
AGCGAACGUUUGCGGCGGGCUUAACACAUGCAAAUCGAACGGGCUGUUCCUUCGGGGGCAGUCAGUGGCGCACGGGUGCGUAACACGUAGGUAAUCAACCCUCUGGUUGGGGAUAACACUUCGAAAGGAGUGCUAAUACCCGGUAUGGCGCAGCGGUCUUCGGAUCGCGGCGAGAAAGACCCGCAAGGGUUGCCAGAGGACGAGCCUGCGGCCCAUCAGCUAGUUGGCGAGGUAACGGCUCACCAAGGCGAAGACGGGUAGCUGGUCUGAGAGGAUGAUCAGCCACACUGGAACUGAGACACGGUCCAGACUCCUACGGGAGGCAGCAGUGGGGAAUAUUGCGCAAUGGGCGAAAGCCUGACGCAGCCACGCCGCGUGAGCGAUGAAGGCCUCGGUC